GCAUUUUCUAUAAGCGGAGGAAAAAGAAACCAACAGGGAUUGCCUCAGUAACGGCGAGUGAAGCGGCAAGAGCUCAAAUUUGAAAGCUGGCCCCUUCGGGGUCCGCGUUGUAAUUUGCAGAGGAUGCUUCGGGUGCAGCCCCCGUCUAAGUGCCCUGGAACGGGCCGUCAUAGAGGGUGAGAAUCCCGUCUGGGACGGGGUGUCUGCGUCCGUGUGAAGCUCCUUCGACGAGUCGAGUUGUUUGGGAAUGCAGCUCUAAAUGGGUGGUAAAUUUCAUCUAAAGCUAAAUACUGGCCGGAGACCGAUAGCGCACAAGUAGAGUGAUCGAAAGAUGAAAAGCACUUUGAAAAGAGAGUUAAACAGCACGUGAAAUUGUUGAAAGGGAAGCGUUUGCGACCAGACUCGCCCGCGGGGUUCAGCCGGCAUUCGUGCCGGUGUACUUCCCCGUGGGCGGGCCAGCGUCGGUUUGGGCGGCCGGUCAAAGGCCCUCGGAAUGUAUCACCUCUCGGGGUGUCUUAUAGCCGAGGGUGCAAUGCGGCCUGCCUGGACCGAGGAACGCGCUUCGGCUCGGACGCUGGCGUAAUGGUCGUAAAUGACCCGUCUUGAAACACGGACCAAGGAGUCUAACAUCUACGCGAGUGUUCGGGUGUCAAACCCGUACGCGCAGUGAAAGCGAACGGAGGUGGGAGCCCCCUCGCGGGGCGCACCAUCGACCGAUCCUGAUGUCUUCGGAUGGAUUUGAGUACGAGCGUAGCUGUGGGGACCCGAAAGAUGGUGAACUAUGCCUGAAUAGGGCGAAGCCAGAGGAAACUCUGGGUGGAGGCUCGCAGCGGGUUCUGACGUGCAAAUCGAUCGUCAAAUUUGGGUAUAGGGGCGAAAGACUAAUCGAACCAUCUAGUAGCUGGAUUCCUGCAGAAGU
rnacentral:rRNA from 1 species